UGAUGAUGAUGAUAGUGGUGAUCUGUGGCAACUAUAAGGCUCCAGUGUCGAUAGUAAACAAUUAAAGUAACAGUUGAAUAUAUAGAUCCAUAGAAGUAAUUGGUUUAACCACUUUCCUAUACACUUAUACAUAAUAAGACUUGAUAUAAUAAUCGAAUGAGUAACUGCGUAGUUUUAUGGUUCAUACUUUCUUUUAAAUUUCAAACGAUCGAUAGCCCGGGUCAAUAACAGUUAAUUUAGGUUUAAAACGUACUAAAUUGCAACUUGUGGUGUCUACUUGAUCAUUGAUCUUCAGUAUAAUUCACACCUGAUUAAGUUUAACUGUAUAAAAUUUACUAUCAUAAUCAGCGCAUUGUGACCUGCCUGUCUGCAAUUUGUUUAUACAUGUCUUGUUUAUUUUCGGAAUCUGAUGUAAGCAAUCGCAUUCGCCGCGGGCUUCUCAAGAGGUCUUCACUCUCGUAAAAUAGUCUACACUUAAUUCAGUAAAUGACUCAUUAUGACAUUCGGAAGUGCUCCUUGAUAUGACAGCGAAAGUGUGGAAAAGAACGGCUAGAAGUGUUACAAAGACAAAGAUGUAAAUCCGUAAAGCAGCUUUAAAAUUAAUCGUUUUAAAUAUUCUCUUAUCUUACUCGCAUAGAGACGUUACAGCACUUAAAACGUGACCCAUCGAUCUCACAAGACUUUAAAAUAAAGUUGACAAAUUAAUCAACCGAUUUUAUUAGGUUAUCAUUAGAGUUGAGAUUGUUAAUAUGUCACUAUGUCAUUGGUGAUCUGUAGUGCGUCUUAACUACUGUUGCGCAAUUAAUUCACAUGCGUGUGUCCUUCGUCGCAUGGUUGGCGCGAGCGUUAAAACAACUUUUAUUAUCCGUGACUAAAUGUUUAUCCAUAUCAGGAACGAUGAGUGCGCCGUUUGUCUAUAAUCUAGUACAUUUUAAAAUCGUGAUUUUAAUAAGCAUUUUCAAAUUAGCUGCAUAAAAAGGCGGAUAAUAUUUGCCAAGUCAUAUUGCAACAAUAUAGUGAGUAAUCUGACGCCUAAUUUCUUAUUAAGUUGCAGGCUUUCGGCAUUGUCUUAUAUUUACAUUAGAAUAUGUCUUUAAUACGCAUGAACUUCUUCAUUCACUGAUCGGAGUGGAAAUGUGAGGGCUGUAAACUGACUUUAACUAUCAAUUAUGACAUUUUAUUAGCAUAACUACCGCAUAUAUCUGGCAGCAUAAUAUCAAAACGACAUGCAAGUCUCGUGAAAAAAAAAAAAAUCCUUUUUAAAAGUUAUUCUUGAUGUUAUCAUCAUUAUCCUCUUUUGAACGAAAAGAUCCUAAAUUGUGUUGGUGUGACUCUGAACGAACUUCAGAAUUUCCCCCCUUUUAAUAGUCUGUCGUACCAUAAUAAACUUGCGAAUCAUCAUGACAAAAUAGAUUAUUUGAUAGAUAAUAUGAAGCAUGAUACUGUUUUUGCUGUCAGAGCUUAAACAAAAAUGAUACUGGUGCGUUUUAACUUUUGGACUAUGAUACGUAAAUGUUUCAUUUUAAAUACUAGUUCAUUUAUAACAAAUUCAGACUACAUGCAAUCUUAUUUCCUGAAUUUUCUAGAAUGUCGUUCUUUCAUCUCGAUCACUUAUAAAGAGCAGUUAACUGUACCCUGUGUCUAGGCGUCAGACCAAAGGACCACAGAAAUAAACGGGUGUUAGUGAAGAGUCAUAUGCUGUAAACUGUAAUGAUUAAGGCAAGUGAUUCUGCCUUUGCGACCAGUGCACUAUUCGCAAUUCAGUCAGUAUAUUUUUGAUUGCAACCGUUCUGUCCAGAAUUCUUGGAUCCGUCUAUGGUGUUAAAAAUUAGACAUGAUGUAUGCAAGAAGACAAAAUGUGUGUCAGUGGAUCAUUUCAGAGAGAAGUUACAAGAAAAGAGAACAGUUUCUGCUGGGAAAUUGGCCAAAGAGAUGAGUUGCUGAGGUUAUCGUCAAUUCUGAAGAUAAUUGCGCGGGAAUUCUGUUUUCUUCAGUAUUACAGCCGUCAAUAAUGCCUCUAGAAGUUUUCUGUUGAAAAUAUUAUCAAAUUAUUGAGAAGAAAGAAGCGAUAUUCUCAGCCUGUCAAGACAAUGUGAUCUGAAACUCUGAGUUAUCAUUUCUUAAUUCGUCGUUACGUUUCUCAUCGAAAUAUAAGAAAAUAAGGUCGAUGUAGGGUUCAUAUGAGAAUACUACAAUGGCUGUUAGAUCAAUUAUGCCAUCUCUUUGAAAAUUAACUUUGUUUUCGGUGAAAUAUUGCAAAUUUAGUUAUUCCCAUGGGUGACCUAUACGUUAACUCUGUAUGUCAGAUUCUUUUAUUAGGCUUUUCACUUGCGUAAUUAACCUAAAGUAUUUGAAAGAAAUGAAGGAAAAUGCAAUAACAGAGGUGUCAAAAGAAAAACAGGCCUAAGGAAGCGGUAAAUCUGUAAUCGUAAGACUCAUUUUACCUGCCGGUUCUAGUGAUGGGCGAUUUAGUGAAUAAUCUACCUUGGUGGCAUAUGAGAAAAUUCAUAAAUUACGAUUUGUCAAAAUUUGGGUUUGUGGGUGGUCGAACCGCACAGAGAAAGUCUUGGGAAUCCUAAACAAAAGAAAUGGUAUCGUUUGCAACAGAAGUGAUUUAUUCUCAGAUAUUAAAUGCAUUUUAUGGAUACACAGUAAGUGAAAUUAAUGUGAUUAUAAUUGGAUCGUUAAGCACAAACGUGCAGUUCUAUAAAUGAGCCUCACGUGUAAUAAACAUUUAUCAUGGAAAAAAUAUAAACAAUUUUCAUCGUAGAAAACUAGUAAUGAGAUAUAAAUUACAGAUCAUGCCAAAUGUGCAUAGCAUGACGACAAUCCUUGCGGUGCCUUUUAACUGCUCAUGUAACAGUAAUAAAAUAUUGCAAAAUUUAGUGUACAUGUUUAGUUUAAACCUGUAUAUCUUGCACUGAUUGUGGAGGCCGCUCUCAAAACUUAUGCUAACAUUGCUCGAUUUUCUUACAAUGUUCUUGCCUUGGUUAGGGAUUGUGGAGACCGAGGUCAAUUUUCUUUCUCACCUAGGUUCGGAUCCACAACCUUUGCCUACGCUCCACUGUUCCAAAAUAUGUUAAAUAGAUAUUCCGAUUUGAUAGUAUUGAAAGAAAGGAAUGAAUAUUGUGUCAAAAUGUUAUAUACGUUUACACAAAUAAAUGUUUAUCUGAAGUGUUUCGUUACUUGUACUUUUACUAUCUCAAAACUGAUAUAAAAAUAAUAACAAUUUAAUAGUAUUAACGAUGAUGAUGAUGAUGACGAU
rnacentral:lncRNA from 1 species